CUGGUUUUGUUUCUAAUUUACAGCAUGUUGAGAAUGCAGAGCUAUUGGCUGCCCCAAAAUUCAGUUAACUGCUUAGUAAAAUGUACUUUAAAAUACAUUAGAAAAUUAUUUAUUACUUACAGAAUUUACAAAAAUUGUUCAAAACAUAGAACCUCUAUGUUGAAUAUGAAACUCACAGUGCUGUGAUACCUAUGUCUGAAUUGACUGACCAGUUUAAAUCUAAGCAUCUCAUUAAUUCAAGAUACUGUCUUAGGUUAGUGGACUUCUGGCCACACUGUAUAUUUAAUGUGGUAUGAAUUUCAGCAUUCCUGCCAAGAGUCAAGCUAGUUCUUACCACAACUCUAUCCUGCUAACACUGCAGAUUUGACAGAAGUUAGUGUACUGCAGUCACCAGAUCAUAUGAGCUCUCUUUCAAGUGCAAGAGGAAUGCUGGCUGCCAUGAUGCAGAGUGCUUGUGCUGCUUCAUUCAUUUAACAGGACUGAGCAACGGAGCUUUGAGUCAGUGUUUCUGUUAGGUAGAUAACAGAAGAACCAACACAGACAGUAUACAACGAACUAUUGAAGGAACACAUUUCUUAGACAUUUGUAGCUGUUAACAGAUUAAGAAGAGCAGCAAACAUGUUUU